GACAGAGGGUGCAAACGUUGUUCGGAAUUACUGGGCGUAAAGCGCGUGUAGGCUGCUCGGAAAGUCGGAUGUGAAAGCCCUGGGCUUAACCCAGGAAGUGCACUCGAAACUCCCGAGCUCGAGUCCUGGAGAGGAAGGCGGAAUUCUCGGUGUAGAGGUGAAAUUCGUAGAUAUCGAGAGGAACAUCGGUGGCGAAGGCGGCCUUCUGGACAGUGACUGACGCUGAGACGCGAAAGCGUGGGGAGCAAACGGG
rnacentral:rRNA from 1 species